UGGGGAAUUUUGCACAAUGGGGGAAACCCUGAUGCAGCGACGCCGCGUGAUUUAGAAGGCCUUCGGGUUGUAAAAAUCUUUUCUAUGGGAAGAAAAUGACAGUACCAUAGGAAUAAGGACCGGCUAAUUACGUGCCAGCAGCCACGGUAAUACGUAAGGUCCGAGCGUUGUCCGGAAUCAUUGGGCGUAAAGGGUACGUAGGCGGGUAAGCAAGUUAGAAGUGAAAUCCUGUAGCUCAACUACAGUAAGCUUUUAAAACUGCUCAUCUUGAGAUAUGGAAGGGAAAGUGGAAUUCCUAGUGUAGCGGUGAAAUGCGCAGAUAUUAGGAGGAAUACCGGUGGCGAAGGCGACUUUCUGGCCAUAAUCUGACGCUGAGGUACGAAAGCGUGGGUAGCAAACAGG
rnacentral:rRNA from 1 species